rnacentral:rRNA from 1 species
GGGGGAAUCUUGCGCAAUGGGCGAAAGCCUGACGCAGCGACGCCGCGUGAGCGAUGAAGGCCCUCGGGUCGUAAAGCUCUGUGGGGAGGAAAGAAUAAGGGUAGGUUAAUAUCCUGCCUGAUGACGGUACCUCCUUAGCAAGCACCGGCUAACUCUGUGCCAGCAGCCGCGGUAAUACAGAGGGUGCGAACGUUGUUCGGAAUCACUGGGCGUAAAGCGGGUGUAGGCGGCUUGGCAAGUCGGGUGUGAA